rnacentral:rRNA from 1 species
GACGAACGCUGGCGGCGUGCUUAACACAUGCAAGUCGAGCGGUAAGGCCCUUUCGGGGGUACACGAGCGGCGAACGGGUGAGUAACACGUGGGUGACCUGCCCUCAGCUCUGGGAUAAGCCUGGGAAACUGGGUCUAAUACUGGAUAUGACUCCACGGUGCAUGUCGUGGGGUGGAAAGCCUUGUGCGGCUGAGGAUGGGCCCGCGGCCUAUCAGCUUGUUGGUGGGGUGANGGCCUACCAAGGCGACGACGGGUAGCCGGCCUGAGAGGGCGACCGGCCACACUGGGACUGAGACGCGGCCCAGACUCCUACGGGAGGCAGCAGUGGGGAAUCUUGCGCAAUGGGCGAAAGCCUGACGCAGCGACGCCGCGUGAGGGAUGACGGCCU